AGAAAGCUUUAUGCACCAUUGGAUGAGCCUGCACUUGAUUAGUUAGUUGGUGGGGUAAAGGCCUACCAAGACUUUGAUCAAUAGCUGAUUUGAGAGGAUGAUCAGCCACAUUGGGACUGAGACACGGCCCAAACUCCUACGGGAGGCAGCAGUGGGGAAUCUUGCACAAUGGAGGAAACUCUGAUGCAGCGAUGCCGCGUGAGUGAAGAAGGCCUUUGGGUUGUAAAGCUCUUUCGUCGGGGAAGAAAAUGACUGUACCCGAAUAAGAAGGUCCGGCUAACUUCGUGCCAGCAGCCGCGGUAAUACGAAGGGACCUAGCGUAGUUCGGAAUUACUGGGCUUAAAGAGUUCGUAGGUGGUUGAAAAAGUUGGUGGUGAAAUCCCAGAGCUUAACUCUGGAACUGCCAUCAAAACUUUUCAGCUAGAGUUUGAUAGAGGAAAGCAGAAUUUCUAGUGUAGAGGUGAAAUUCGUAGAUAUUAGAAAGAAUACCAAUUGCGAAGGCAGCUUUCUGGAUCAUUACUGACACUGAGGAACGAAAGCAUGGGUAGCGAAGAGGAUUAGAUACCCUCGUAGUCCAUGCCGUAAACGAUGUGUGUUAGACGUUGGAAAUUUAUUUUCAGUGUCGCAGCGAAAGCGAUAAACACACCGCCUGGGGAGUACGACCGCAAGGUUAAAACUCAAAUGAAUUGACGGGGACCCGCACAAGUAGUGGAGCAUGUGGUUUAAUUCGAAGAUACGCGCAGAACCUUACCAACACUUGACAUGUUCGUCGCGACUUUAAGAGAUUAAAGUUUUCGGUUCGGCCGGACGAAACACAGGUGCUGCAUGGCUGUCGUCAGCUCGUGUCGUGAGAUGUUGG
rnacentral:rRNA from 1 species